rnacentral:ncRNA from 1 species
UUAAAAGCAAAGAAGAGAAAUAGUAUCAGUGUGAAACUUUACAGAGACUUUUCGGUUGGUGAAAGAAAAGAGGGGAAGCAGUGUGAACACAUCUCAGAGCUGCAAAGGCGAAAAUUACAGUAGUCUUUGACGGAAUCCUUGUACCCGUUACAGUACUAGAGUAUGAUUGUACUCGAAGAGGUUAUUUUCGGGAGAAGAUAAUGAAUUAAGGUGGAACCACGAAGUUAUAAGCUUUCGUCCUUUUA